GACGAACGCUGGCGGCGUGCCUAAUACAUGCAAGUAGAACGCUGAAGGAGGAGCUUGCUUCUCUGGAUGAGUUGCGAACGGGUGAGUAACGCGUAGGUAACCUGCCUGGUAGCGGGGGAUAACUAUUGGAAACGAUAGCUAAUACCGCAUAAUAGUAGAUGUUGCAUGACAUUUGCUUAAAAGGUGCAAUUGCAUCACUACCAGAUGGACCUGCGUUGUAUUAGCUAGUUGGUGGGGUAACGGCUCACCAAGGCGACGAUACAUAGCCGACCGGAGAGGGUGAGCGGCCACACUGGGACUGAGACACGGCCCAGACUCCUACGGGAGGCAGCAGUAGGGAAUCUACGGCAAUGGACGGAAGUCUGACCGAGCAACGCCGCGUGAGUGAAGAAGGUUUUCGGAUCGUAAAGCUCUGUUGUAAGAGAAGAACGAGUGUGAGAGUGGAAAGUUCACACUGUGACGGUAUCUUACCAGAAAGGGACGGCUAACUACGUG
rnacentral:rRNA from 1 species